CCGAGUUUACAACUCCCAAACCCAAUGUGAACCAUACCAAACUGUUGCCUCGGCGGGGUCACGCCCCGGGUGCGUCGCAGCCCCGGAACCAGGCGCCCGCCGGAGGGACCAACCAAACUCUUUUCUGUAGUCCCCUCGCGGACGUUAUUUCUUACAGCUCUGAGCAAAAAUUCAAAAUGAAUCAAAACUUUCAACAACGGAUCUCUUGGUUCUGGCAUCGAUGAAGAACGCAGCGAAAUGCGAUAAGUAAUGUGAAUUGCAGAAUUCAGUGAAUCAUCGAAUCUUUGAACGCACAUUGCGCCCGCCAGUAUUCUGGCGGGCAUGCCUGUCCGAGCGUCAUUUCAACCCUCGAACCCCUCCGGGGGGUCGGCGUUGGGGACCUCGGGAGCCCCUAAGACGGGAUCCCGGCCCCGAAAUACAGUGGCGGUCUCGCCGCAGCCUCUCCUGCGCAGUAGUUUGCACAACUCGCACCGGGAGCGCGGCGCGUCCACGUCCGUAAAACACCCAACUUCUGAAAUGUGACCUCGGAUCAGUAGGACCCCCACCCC
rnacentral:rRNA from 1 species